rnacentral:lncRNA from 1 species
CAGGGAGGGAGCGGUAGAGGGAAGGAGAGAGAAUCGUUAAUGAGUGCAGUAUCAAGGAAGAAGAACUUCUAAUGUACUAUAGCACAAGAGGAUAAGUAUGGUUGACAACAAUUUAUCAUGAAUUUCAAAUAACUGGUAGAGAGGACUUUGAAUGCUCCCAGCACAAGCAAAUGAAAUGGCAUGAGGUGAUAGUUAUAUACCAAUUGUCCUGAUAGGAUCAUCACUUACUGUAUACAUAGAGUGAAAUUUCACACUGCAGGACAUAAAUAUCUACAGUUAUUAUGUGUCAAUUAAAAAAAUUAUGAACUGGAAUUGUGGUGCGACCAGUUGAGCUGCUGCUUGUGAUGCCAGCAUCCCAUAUCGUGCUGAUUUGAGUCCAGCUGCUCUGCUUUCUGUCCAGCUCCCUGCUAACGUGUCUGGGAAGCCAGCCAAAAAUGACCCAAGUGCUUGGGCCCCUGCACUCAGGUGGGGGACCUGGUUGAAGCUCCUGGCUCCUGGAUUUGGCCUAGCGCAGCCCCAGCAGGUGCCAUCAUUUGAGGAGUGAACCAGCGGAAGAAAGAUUCCCCUCUCCCUCUCCCUCUCCCUCUCCCUCUCCCUCUCCCUCUCCCUCUCCCUUUCCCUCUCUCUCUCCCUCUCUCUCUCCCUCUCUCCAACACUGCCUUUCAAUUAAAUAAUAAAAAAUUCUUUAGCAGCUUCAAUUCUGUCAGGGCUUCUUCUUUUGUUGGUUUUCUUUGUUGGUUUUGUCCAUAUUUCUUUAUUGGUAAAUUACAAGUGUUCUUUGCUCUCAUCUCAUUGUGCCUUUGUAUUCUUCCUUUUUCCGCAGGUAAUAAAGACCUGAGCAUCCUACAUCUUCUCAAAUGCCACAAUACAACAAUGCAUUUGGAGAGUAGAUGCCGAUGCAAGCAGAAACCAACAAGUGAGAAAUCUUAUGUAAUCUGGACAAGAAAUGGCAUGUGGAGUCCUAAUGUGAAAACCAAAGAGAAAGAGUGAAGGCUACUGUUGGAGCUGAUGACCUAUGAUUCCCAAACAUAACCUGUCUUCAGAGAAGUGGCUGAAGAUAAGCAUUGUGUGGUGAGCUCCUGAAACCCCCGAUGUGAAAACCCAGCCCAGAACAAUCGGAAUAACUGCAGGAAGUUCCUAUGCAUCAGUUUGACGCUACCCAGGUGAUACCAUUAAGAAAUGAAAUUUGACAUUCUAAUUUCAUGUAAAAUCAAUUAAUUAAAUUAUGUG